CUAAGGUGCAUUAAGUGAAUGCACCAUUUUACUAAAAGCAAUAGACACAAUGAACAAGGUAUCAUCCAUCUGUUUUCAUAUAUAUACUCGAUUUGACAAAAUUCAUGUUUGCUUUUUUAUUGUAUUCAAACCAAUAAUAAUCAUAUUGAGCUUACAUUUAUUGGGUGUGAAAUUGAAUCACCUUUUCAUUAGCAAUCUAAUAACUAAUGUAGUUUCAUUGUGACGUAGCUGCAUCACAUUGUCUCAAGAAUAUUGAGUCCUUUGAACAAGAUGAGAAAGCUUACCUGGAGAAGGCUGCCCUAGAGUUUGAUGAAGAAAAAAAACAUGGCCUGCAAAAUAACAAAAACGGUAGGACCAAAAUAUUUUGUUUUUUCUUUAGCCGUUC
rnacentral:lncRNA from 1 species